GAUGAACGCUGGCGGCGUGCUUAACACAUGCAAGUCGAACGGGAUCCAUCAAGCUUGCUUGGUGGUGAGAGUGGCGAACGGGUGAGUAAUGCGUGACCGACCUGCCCCAUACACCGGAAUAGCUCCUGGAAACGGGUGGUAAUGCCGGAUGCUCCGGCCUGCCGCAUGGUGGGCUGGGAAAGAUUGUAUCGGUAUGGGAUGGGGUCGCGUCCUAUCAGGGAGUCGGCGGGGUAACGGCCCACCGAGCCUACGACGGGUAGCCGGCCUGAGAGGGCGACCGGCCACAUUGGGACUGAGAUACGGCCCAGACUCCUACGGGAGGCAGCAGUGGGGAAUAUUGCACAAUGGGCGCAAGCCUGAUGCAGCGACGCCGCGUGCGGGAUGACGGCCUUCGGGUUGUAAACCGCUUUUGAUCGGGAGCAAGCCUUCGGGUGAGUGUACCUUUCGAAUAAGCACCGGCUAACUACGUGCCAGCCGCCGCGGUAACAC
rnacentral:rRNA from 1 species